rnacentral:rRNA from 1 species
AUUGAACGCUGGCGGCAGGCCUAACACAUGCAAGUCGAACGAGUGGCGGACGGGUGAGUAAUGUCUGGGAAACUGCCUGAUGGAGGGGGAUAACUACUGGAAACGGUAGCUAAUCCCGCAUACCAUCGGAUGUGCCCAGAUGGGAUUAGCUAGUAGGUGGGGUAACGGCUCACCUAGGCGACGAUCCCUAGCUGGUCUGAGAGGAUGACCAGCCACACUGGACCUUAUACACGGUCCAGACUCCUACGGUAGGCAGCAGUGGGGAAGAUUGCACAAGGGGCGCAAGCCUGAUGCAGCCAGGCCGCGUGUAUGAAGAAGGCCUUCGGGUUGUAAAGUACUUUCAGCGGGGAGGCGUUACCCGCAGAAGAAGCACCGGCUAACUCCGUGCCAGCCGCCGCGGUAAUAC